GCUCGCGCGGGUCCCCUGUGCAGCGAGCACGUCGGCAUCGGGGCUUUAAAAAAAGCCUUCCAGAGGGAGCGAGGUGUAAGGAUGUUUUUAAGUGGCUAGUAAAAGACACGUCACCACGAACUCCCUUUCAGUCCUCCCCCUUGCCUAGAACUCAUCCCAGUGACCUCGCUGCUCUCUGAGUCCUCUUCCCUGAGUGUCUUUGUGAGGUGUGAUUAAAGAAAAUACCCUAGAUGUUGCUGCUGUUGCCACUCACCAGAAGGGCAGCUCCUGAAAACACGACGUUGAGUUCUCAUCCGACUUGAUCACCUGGUCUGGCGCCUCACGACUCCAGGACUUUCUCAGUCACAGUGGCCAGGAAAGGAGAACACUGAGCCAGUCCAGGACAUCCAGGCAGCCAGGACAGCGCAGCUAAAGACACUCGAAAGGAUUUGCUGAGCUGCUGCAGAAAGUGGGAUGGACAAAAUGAAAAAAGAGGCCAGAAGGAAGAGUCUGGAAAGAAAUCUGAGAUCAUCGGCCAGGGAGAGAGGUCAGUACUGGGGGCAGAAGCUAAGUGACUGUGCUUUUGAAGUCUGAGACAGUGCAGCAGACAUCCCAGACUGGGGUUCACAACUCAAGGAUGCCUUCCAGCUCCUGGAGACUCUCAUUUCCCUGACAACCUAACAUAAGGCCGUGCCCUCACUGUGUUCCUUAAUGUCCUCACUUAAGCCAAAAAGCUACACUCCUGCCCCUGUAAGCCAGGAGCAUGCACUAUAGUUACAGUUAAGGGGAAGAAAGGGCAACUGCAUGCCCAUUACAACAUCAUUAGCGCUGUGGUUGGGCUUUGAUUGCUGUGCUGUUUUCUUCUGAGCCUAUAGAAAAUCAGAAACUUCCCCUCCUUCUGGACAUGAGGGAGAAGACUCAAUUUCACCACCCUUAACCACUUCCCAAAUUCUAGGAAAACAAAAGAAAAAUCAACCACAGAACUCACUGGAGUUGCUGCCUUUGGUUCUGCCUGCCCUCUAUUCCAGAGGGGGGACUUUCAUUACUGACAGAUGCCACCAGCUUGGAACUUGCAAGUGCACUUUAACUUCAAACCUAAAACAGACUAUGAAGAACGGAGCUGUCAAGUGAGAGGGAGACCUCUGUCCUUUCAGAAACGGUUUGACCUCCUGAGGCUCAGCCUAGUUGUGUUGUCUAUGGAGAGGUUUAGAGAAAAGGUAAAAGAGAACCUGUGAAAUGUGAGGGAGCAAAGACAGGGUUCUUUUUUUUUUUUUUUUUUUUUUUUUUUUUUUUUUUUUGAGAAAUGUUAAUUUUGAAAGCAGAAAAAUGUGCCAAGAGCUGUGAGGUUGUGUUCCAUGUAGUGAUGGAUGCCAUCCCACUGCCCUGCUGAGAACGCAGCUUGCUGGGAUCCUACCUGGCAACAGUAAAACUCAAAAAAGGCAACGUUUAUAUAAUGAAAGGUGGUUUAUUUGGGGAAAAGAUGAAAAAGAGAGAGGACGGACAGCUUUUGUGAGGUGUUAGAGGGCUUUUGAGUCAAAAGCCCACAGGACCUUUCCCUGGCGUCUCCUGUCUCCCGUUCUCCAGGUGGGCGAUUGUUGAUAUCUGAUCUCUUCCCUGGGCUGUCCUUGACUCCAAGGCUGUCUGCAAACAUCUCCUCUGACCAUUUGGUUUCUUCCUGUCUCUUUGUAAUGAAUGAGUGAAGGGGGAGGGCCUAUGAAGAAGGCGGCCCACUUAAUGAUCAGUUAUUCUCCUGUGACAUGCGGGAUGCUAAAUGUUUUAUGUAAGUACAUAUUAUCAUUUUUACACAUUCCAUGUUAUAGAUAGAAAAUCAGUCGUAAAGAAGAUAAACUGCCUAGGCUCAGCCUUGGUAGGUGCUGGGUUUGGGGUCUGAGCCCAUGCUUCAUAUGAUGCUGAUGUCAUUGAACUAGCUAAACCUUCAAUAUAGUCCAUAAGUCAUCAUGAAGAGAUAAUGUAGUCAAGUUUUCUGAUAAGUAAAACAUGUAGGGACCAAGGGUGUAGCUUGGUGGUGUUGAAUAUGCACACUGCCUUGGGUUCAGUCCCCAAGUAAGAAGCAAUCAAACUUGUAUGCUUGACCAAAAUAUUUAUUUGCAAAUUACACAGAAAAAUUCCAGUAUAGCAAACACUUUGGUUUCAUUUUUUGCUAACGAAAGCAGAGAAUUUUAAAGUUUCAUAUCAAUUAAAGUGAAACUUGUGGUAGAAAGAUCACAGUUUCAGACAUUGUGCUGGGAUAUGAGAGUCCUUCCCACAUGAUAGCUAAUCCAGUCAAAAUAAUUGGCCACUUUGGUGUAAACUCCUGGGAAUUCUGAUUUUCCACAGUUUUCACCCCAACUCACAAUGCCCCAGACAUAAGUCACAUUGUUCCUGCUCACACAGGUGAGGGGGCCCCCGGAGUCCCCUUGACAGGCAUCAAUGGAACCAUCAUCUGUGCCUGAGAAAGAGAAAGUGAGACAUUUCCCUCUGUUUGUCAGACUGCCUUAUCUUCCUGACUCCUCCCCCAAUGGGUUUAAUAAAUUUGGCUUUCUUGUACUUUGCUGACAGUGUUUUAAUCCUCACCACAAUCCUAUGAGAUAAAGUAUCAUUAUUUUGUCCAUUUUACAUAUGAAACAAGGCACAAAAUGAUUGGCUAAUGUGCCCAAGGGCGCAGAGCCUGACCUUGAACUUUCGGCAGACAAACCUCAGAGUUUAUCUUAUCUAUGACCAUGGUUUCUGGUAGAUCUUCUGUUAUGCAAUCCAUUUGCACACUACAGUCCCAAGCUCCAUUUCAAGAUGGGAGUGCACUUUCUUCUCUUCUAAUGAAAGUUUUCAAUCGCUGUUGGAAUGGUCUGAGUUCUCCCCUGGGGUCCAUGUGCUAGGGCCAGUGCCACACUGUGAUCAGUUUAAGAGGUGACCCUAGUGGAAGGUCUUGGGCCAGCAGGAUUAAAUCAGAAUUUUCACAAAAGGAAGAAGGCUGGCCCUUUCCCUUUGUUAUGGUUUGUGUUCCGAUGGUCCCCCCAACUCUCCUGCAGUCCAUGGCUGAAUCCAGCGUUUGUGAUUGUUGCAUUGUCUAGCACUGGGAUUGGUGGUGUGAGUGCUACCCCUGCCUAGGGCAGAGCCAGCAUACAGUGUAAGGAUAGGAAGAGGGUGUGUCUUUUCUUUUUGUGUAGUUUGCUCUUGCUGUUUUGCAGUGGCUAUGAACAGAGGCUCCACCAUGCCACCCUGUCUUGGAGCCAGGGGAGUAUGGAAUUGAAACUUCCAAAAUUGUAAGAAAUAAACCUUCCCUUCCCUAAUUUUGGGUGUCAGGUAUUUUGUCUCAACAUCAAGAAAAAACUAAGACACACUUCCUCUGGCUUCCUGUCCUUUUAUGGACUACUCAUUUCCUGGCAUGCUCUCACAUCUGUGGUGUGCCCCUGCCACGCAGCCCUCACUGGAAGUGGGCUGAUGUCAAUGCCAUGAGCUUAAAUCUCCACACGUGUGAGAUAAACUUUUUUUUUUUUUUUUUUUCGGUAAUAAGGGCCCAGCCUCAAGUAUUUCAUUAAAGUAACAACAACAAAAACCCAUGUGGCACUUACCUGCACACAGCAUUUCUUUCUCAUAGUAGCGAUUUGGGUAAAACUCAGAACAGUUGCUUAUCAGGUUAACUUCACCCCACUGAAGCGAAAAGACUUUUUUGUGUUCUAAACAAAGGGAGAAAACAUAUUUAGAAGACACAAAUGAGAAAUCUAAACACUUUGGUAACUUAGUAACUAUUAAGCAUGUGUCAUGGUUUAUGUCAGUGGCCCCCAAGCCUAAUGCAAUUAUGCGUUUGUGGUUGGUUCAUUGUCUAGGGCUCAGAUUAGGGGUGUGAGUGCUACACCUGCCUAGGGGUGGAGCCAGGAUAUGAUGUAACGGUGGGAAGAUCUCUCUCUCUCUCUCUCUCUCUCUCUCUCUCUCUCUCUCUCUCGCUGGUUCUCGCCUUGCUAUUUGCAGCCACCAUAAAGGGCUGCCCUGCCGUGCCAUGCUGUCUUGGAACCCAUUGAGUAUGGACUGAAACCUCCAAGAACUGUAAGGAAUAAGCCUUUCCUUCCCUAACUUUGGGCAUCAGGUAUUUUGUCUCAGCAACCAGUAAAAAGUAACUAAGAUAGCAUGUAAGGGAAUAUACAUAAUAAACUUUUUUUUUUUUUGGUACUGAUGAUUGAACUCAUGACCUCGUGCUUGCCAGGAAGGUGUUUAUGCCAGUGAGCUAAAUCCCUGGCCCAUAAAUAAAUUUUUGAGAACAAUUCGGUAGUACAUUUACUCAUACUGUCCUCAGAUCCCUAGUUUCUAUAGUUAUCUUUUUAAACUUGGGUGACUAGUCAGGGGGAUUAGUGAACAUAUGGCCAGAAGUCAUAUUAAUUUAGUAAAGAGCUGAUACCUGGAGAUAAAUGGGAUAAAAUCCUACCAAUAGCCAGUGUGAUCCAGGACAAGAAGCAGACAACCCUCCCCCUGUGAGCCCUGUGGUCACCACUGGGGACCUGCUGUAGCCAGUGUAGGCCAGGAGAAUCCAGCCAGUCACAUCUCAGAGAAUCCAUGCAUGUCUGGAGAAGCCUAUCCCAUGCCUAUCCCAACCAGCCUCCUGGUUCUCCCUGGGAGAACCUAGGUUAGGAGAAACUCAGGUGUCUGGCCCACCCCCUACACUAUGGAUGCAUAGCCAGUGUAGGAAGGACCUGGGGCCCCACAGCUGCCUUGUCCACAGAAAACCAGGAAAAUGUCAAGUUGAAAGAGAAAAACACAAUCUCUGUCUUCCAUCCCACACAGAACAAGUCCAGGAAACAUAGACAUUGAAUAAAUUGGAAGUUGCACACCUGAAAUUUCUGGCAUAAUGGAAAAAUCUCUUAAAAAUAACAAGAAAAAAAUAGCAAAGAAUCAGGAAACAAUUCAAUGGCUGUAAGAUGACACAAAGAGAAACAAUGUAAGAGCAAUAGAUGUCAGUGAAAAAGUAGGAAUUGAAAUUACCCUAUGUACAUUACCAGAUCAUAGUGCAAUGAAAUUGGAAACCAAUGGCAAAAGAAACUACAACAGUUCCAUUAGCAUAUGGAAAUUAACACUGCCUUGAACAAUGAAUGGGUCACAGGUGAAAUUAAACAGUAUCUACAAUUAAUUGAUAAUACCUAUACAACAUACCAGAAUUUUGUGACACAAUGAAAGCAGUCCUAUAGGGGAAACUUAUAGUGAUGAAUUCUCAUGUCAAGGAAACAGAAUGAGCUCAAAUUAAUAACCUAAUUUUGAGUGCAAGGUCAUGAGUUAGAUUCCUGGUACCAAAAAACAAACAAACAUACAAACAAAAGAACCCCCUAAAUUUGAACUUUAAACAUCUAGUAAAAGAAGAACAAGUCAAGCCCAAAGCUCAUACAAGGGAAGGAAUUACGAAAAUCAGAGCAGAAAUUAAUGCAAUUGAGAAUAAAAAACCAAUACAAAAAAAUCAAUGAAUCAAAGAGUUGGUUCUUUGAAAGAUUAAGUAAAAUUGAUAAAUCUUUAAGCUUAUCAAAAAAGGAACAAAAAGACUCAAAUUCAUGUGAAUAAAAUUAAAAGGAUGAAAUUACAGUUGAGGUAAAGUGAAGGUUGGGUGGGUACGGGUAUGAUGGCACAGGCCUAUAACCCCUGCACUCAGGAGGCUGAGGCAGGACUGUUACAAGUUUGAGACCAACCUGGGCUACAAAGUGAGCUAAAGGCCUGAAAUGCAUAGCAAGACAUGUCUCAAAAGGACAAAAGAAAAAGAAAGAAAAAAGAAAAAUCGACCCUGAAGAAAUCCAGAACAUCAUCUAUACUUACUUCAAGAAUCUUUUCUCUAAUAAGAUGCAAAACACAGAAGAAAUGGAUAGAUUCCUAGAUACAUAUAAAUUACCAAAUUAGAAUAAAGAUAUAAAAAUCUUAAACCAGUAUCAGCCAAUGAAAUUUAAGAUGUGAUUAAAAACCUACCAACAAGGAAAAGUCUAAGUCCUGGUGGAUUCACAACUGAAUUCUACAAGAAAUUUAGAGACCUAAUGCCACUACUCUUCAAACUCUAAUGAAAUUGAAAGUCAGCAACACUCCCAAAAUCGUUCCUGAAAGUAAGCAUUAUCCUGAUACCAAAGCCAGAGAAGCACUCAAACAAAAAAGAGAACUACAGGCCAAUCUUCCUAAUGAACGUAGAUGCAAAAAUUCUCAGUAAAAUGCUAGCAAACAGAAUACAGCCAAUCAUCAAGAAGAUUAUACAGCAUGACCAAGUAGGAUUCACCCCAGGGUUGCAGUGAUGGGUCAACAGAUGCAAAUCAAUAAAUGUUAUACACCAUAUUAAUAGAGCCAAGGACAAAAAUUGCAUGAUCAUCUUAAUAGACUCAGGAAAAACAUUUGACAAAGUCCAACAUCCAUUCAUAAUAAAAACCCUACAGAAAAUUGAAAUAGAUGGUCUUUAUCUCAAUAUGAUAAAAGCUAUCUAUGACCAUAAACCAACAUCAUACUAAACAGUCAGAAACUGAAAGCCUUCACUUUACAAUCAGGAACAAGACAAGGUUUUCCACGGUCACCACAUUUCUUCAGUAUAGCUCUAGAAACAGCCAGAGCAAUUAGACAAGAAAAGAAAGAAAAGGAAUAAAGCUAGGAAAAGAAGAAGUUAAAUUAUCAUUGUUGUGGGUGGCAUGGCACUCUACACAGAAGAUCCCAUUUUAUCAGUAGUGUAGCUGGAUACAAAGUCAACACUCAAAAAUCAAUAGCAUUCCUGUACACAAAUGUCAAACUCACAGACAAAAAUUAGGGAAACAACACUUUUCACAAUAGCAUCCAAAAAAACUUAAAAUACUUAAUAAACAACAUAAAAGUUCUCUACAUUAUAAACUAUGUUACUCAAAAAAAGAAGAUUAAAGAAGAGAUCCCUUGUUGUUGGUAGGAAGAACCAACACUGUGAAAAGGGCCAUACUCCCAAAAUUGUUACACAGAUUUAAUGCAAUCUCAAUCAAAAUACCAUUAGCAUACCUUACACAAAUAGGUAAAACAAUCCUAAAAUUCAUCUGGAGUCAGAAGAGAUGUAGAAUAAUGAAAGCAAUCCUGGAAAUAAAGGCAAGUCAGGGGGCAUCACAACCCCUGACUUGAAAUUAUACUACAAAGCUGCUGUGAUAAAAUCAGUACGGUAUUGGGAAAAAACAGACUUCAGGCUCAGUGGAACAAAUUAGAAGUGCAGAAACAACUCCUAACACACUGAGCCACCUAAUCUUUGACAAAGGGGCCCAAUAUUUUCAGUGGAAGAAAGACAGCCUUUUUAAUAAAUGGGCUGGAAAAACAAUUUCUGCAUGCUGAAAACUAAAACUAGAUCUUGUGUACUACAUGCAUUAAACUAAAAUCAAAAUGGACCAAGAUCUAAAUAUUAAAACAGAAACACUAAAUCUGCUGGAAGAGAAAAUAGAUAGAACUCUUAAAGACAUAGAGAUAGGCAAAGACUUCACGAACAAAACCCAUUUACAUGGGAAAUACUAUAAAGAAUCAACAACUGCAUCCUCACUUUAUUGAAAAGCUUUUUGCACAGCUAAAGAAAUCAACAGAGUAAAAAGACAAUCCACAUCAUGGAAAAAAAUCCUAGCCCAUUGUUCCUCAGACAGAGGGCAAAUAUCUGGAACAUACAAAGAAUUGAAAAAAAUCAGGCCCCCAAAUUUAUAGACCCAAUGCAAAAAUAGGCGUCUGAGUUUAAUACAUACUUCUCACAUGAAGAAAUAGAAAUGCCAAAUAAAUAUAUGAAAAAAUGUUCAACAUCACUGGUGACGAGAGAGAUGCAAAUUAAAACAAUGCUGAAAUUUCAACUCAGAAAGAAUGACUAGUUUCAAAAAAUCAAUCAUUAAAUGCUGGUGGUGCUGUGGGGAAAAAGGAACCCUUUUCCACCGUUGGUGUGAGUGUAGACUGGUGCAACCACUGUGGACAUCAGUGUGGAGAGUCCUAAAACAACUAGCACUAGAGGUUCCCUUUGACCCAGUCAUUCCCCUUCUUGGUACCUUCUCAAAAGAAUUACAGGCAUCACAGGAACAUAUGCACACCCAUGUUUACAGUGCCACAGCUUGUAACAGCCAAAUCUUGGAAGCAACCCAAAUGCCUAUCAACAGAUGAGUGGAUAAAAAUGAUGUGGGUUUUUUUCCUUAUAAAAUGGAGUGCAGCCUAGCCAUAAAGAAAGAUAAACUUAGGACAUAGCUAUAUAGGUAGACCUUGAGAUCAUACUCUUAAGUGAAAUAUAACAGACAUACGUGUGUACAUAUUACAUUGUCUCUUUGGUGUGAGAAACAAAGUAUAAAUAAGAACCAAAAUGUAUAGUAAAUAUUGUAAAAUAGGAAGAAAUUGUUCAAAGGAAAGGGGAACUAAGGAAGAGGGGAAGGAAGGAAAGUAAAAGAAAAAAUCAGAAAAGAAGGAUAAAAUGGAAACAAAGCUUUGUAAAUAAGGAGCAGAGGAGGGAUUGAAGGGAGAGGAAAGGAAUGGGGAAAACAAAGAAAUCAAGAUAGAUUAUGUACAGAUACAAAUUCCCUGUGACAAUGUGAUCAUUAUGUAUAUCUAAACUGUACCAAUAAAAUUGAAACAAAAGAAUGGCAGAAUGUGGCCAGUGGUGCAAACUAGAUCAUAAAUAAAGAUUUAUAUUUUUAUGUCUACAUUUGUAGAAAUAAAGUGCAUUAUUUAAAAAAAGAACAAAUACAAGGACAUAAUAUUUUCUGGAUGAAUGAAUUCCUCCUAAUUUAGUAUUUUAUGUAUCGUGGGUAUUCAAACUCACCACACAUCCACAAAUUAAUACAUAUAUACUACAAUUAUCAAUGUGGUCAUCAGAAGGAACGUGUGGGAAAUUAAGUCUGCAAAAUCAAAGCCAUGAAGUUACUUAGGGUUUCUGCUAAUAGAAUUUAAGAGGUCAAACGAACUUAAAUGUCAAAAUGAAGGGAGAAGGUUUAACUAGUUUAAUUCUAAUGCAGCUCUAAUUCUGCAGGUCUUUCUAACCAUGUGUUUCUAGGAUCUCCAUCUCUUACAGAGAGCUCAGAGGGUGGCUUGCUGUGCUUCCCUUCUCACUGCAGUGUGGGGCAGGGGGCAUGGGGAGGGGAAGGGAUUGUAGGGAUUUGGUGCAUAUCGACUUUACCCCUUAGCAAGUCGUGUCCCCUUUGUCUAGGGGCUAAUUUCUUUAUUGAAACAAAAUGUUUAUCUAUCCUUAGGGAUACAUUCUAUUUUUGACACAUGUAUGGAUGUGCAAUAAUCAAAUCAGUGUAAUAAGCAUGUCCACCUCUUCAAACAUUAAUCGUUUUAUGUGUUGGGAAUCUGGAGCUCUUCUAGAAAUCUUGAAAUACCUCAUAGAGCAAUCUGACCUGUCGUCACUCUGCUGCACUAACGGAGACGCAGGAGUAAUGCCUCCACAGCUUCUUUCCAUUCCCCCUUCCUUUCCCAGGCUCAGUGACCACUGUUCCAUUCCAGCUUUCCUACGCUUUAAUCUCCUAUCCACAUCCCACUGACAGACCCAAAACUGUCUUGUGUGUCUUCCCGUCUGUGUAUUUUGUUCUUGGCAAGUGUUUACCCUUCAGUGCUAACUUCGGGAUCACAGAGUACAUGUGUCCUUUGAAAGUCUGGAGAAGGGCUGCAUAUGUAAUUAGCUAGACCUGUGAGACAUCAAAAUGUAGGGGCUGGGACCUCUUCAGAAAUGAUUUAGAAUUUCUGGAUAGUAACAGCAAACACACUUGGGGCCCUUCUGUGCAUGGAGUGCUGGGCAGGCACACAAGUGACACACAAAUGCCUUGUCUCAGUACUAGCUAAUAAGUUCCCAUGCAUUUCUGUUCCCAUUCAUUUCCAAUCCCUGGAUGCUAACAAACCAUAAAACAUACCUUUUUCUCGACCCCAGCCAGAAAUGAUGCAACGGUCCUUAGGUUGGAAUAGAUAUGGAGACCAGGGGACACAGGCAGGGAUGGAGCUAGAGAGCUUGCAUUGUUUCUGGCUCAAAUGUUUUUUCAAUUCAAUCAAAGCAAUGUCAUUUUGGUAGGUGGUUCCGUUGUAUUUGUCAUGGAUGAUAACUCUUUCCACCUGGUGAAUGAGUGCUUCAGAGUUCAGUCUUAUCCUGUCUAUGAGUGAUGACCAUAUUUGGUAACGGUGAGCUCUACUACUUCUGUAACAGAAAGGGAAAGAGUAAUAGAGAGAAAGCAUAAAUAUGAAAUUCUGACUCUUUACAUGUUCCCCUUUAAAAGAUGUCUGUACAUUCCCAGAUUUGAUUUUUUAGUCCUUGCUAUCAUGGAGCAGUGAGAUUAAAUUUACUAUGGAAGAAAUAAGUCAACGGUAAAUGAAGACAAGAAUAAUCCUUCUAACUGCUCAAUACCAGGAAGAUAAGAAUUCACUGACAACCAGAGAUUCUCAGAGUGGCAUGUCCUUGCUGCUACUGGAGUCAAUGCCCUGUUGCUGUCUCUGUUCAAACGGCAGCCAGACAGCACCCUAUCAAAGAUGUGGUUGAGGAGCUGGAGAAUUUCAUGCCUCUACCGACUCCUGAGGUUCCCAAGGUGAGGGUAUAACAGCAGUUUCCAGCCUGCCCCUUGAGACUGAUAGCACCCCACAGGCCAUUCCUUCUGCUAGACUGUGCUGCUGGAAAUCAGGUUUGGGUCUGUUAUGCUUUAGCUCUAAAACAUCUCCCAAGUGACCCAUGUUUGGAAGGUGAUUGGAUCAUGAGGGUGCCAUAUUCACGGGAUUCAUCCAUGGAUGAGUUCAUGGCUAACGGUGCUGCUAAUUGGUGCACGCUGGGUAGAGGUGGAACCAUCCAGGAUGUGACCUGGAAAGUGCGUCCUUGGCUCCCCUCUUCUCUCCCUGCUUCCUGGCUGCCACAUUGUGAACAACUGUCCUCUGCCAGGGCCUCCCACCAUGCUUGAUUGGCCUUGGAGCCAGUUGAUCAUGGACUGAACCUGCUGGAAACUGUGAGUCAAAGAAAUCUUUCCUUUAAAUUGUAGCUGUUGAGUAUUUUGUACCAGCAACAGAAUACUAACCCAGGUGUCACCAAUCCACAUAGUCCUGGUGCCUAGUACUGUGCCCAGGACACAGUAGAUGUUUUCAUAUCCUGCUGAAGCAGUGAGGACAUAAUUGUUUUUCUCAUGCCUCACUCCAUUUUCAUACCAAUUUUUAAAUCACAGGUUGAGCAAAUUGGCUAUCUACCAUUAUUUAUUAAGGAACAGUAAUACAGUGUCACUUUGACGAAGUACUGUGGCUUAGUUUUGUUUCCAGUUUGUUUUGUUUCAUUGUGAAGGUGUUAAAUAAUGGGCUCACAGUCUAGUCAUGCGAUGCUGGUGAACCUUUCAGGGUUCUCUAUGGUACAACAGCCUGCCGCACACCCGUGCCACAGGUUCGGCACCCCCAGUCCAGCGAUUCCAAGUAUUUUGUAAGAUGGAUUUUCCAUAAGCAGCAAAACUUAACAAUUUAAUGCAACUCUUUUAAAAAUGUGUUAUCCAUCUAUCUCCUGCUUUCUCAAGCAUCAGAAACUAAACAAGAUAAACACUGAUGUCCUCAGAGAUACUGUAGUAUUUGGAUGCUUUUAUUUACACUCAGUGUUCCAAGAAUGCUGUAUUCCAUAUUGACUUUAAUUGAAUUAUAUGACAGAGGUCUGAAUAUUGUUUAAAGGUUAAUUCUGCUCAUUCAUCUAAUGUACUCGAGAAGUCCUUGUGUGCACCACUAUAUAGUAGGCUGUGUGCUAAACACAGGGAUACAGAAAAGAGCAAAUUUAGAAACCAUUCCUGCUUUCACGGAGCUCAGGAGGUUCUGGGGCUUGGAUUCUGGGGUCCUGGCCAAAAAUGCUAGAAGGUGUUUCCCAUUUAUUAGAGUGCAACUUAGCGUUUCUCAGCUGUGCCCCAGCUGACUGCCACAUCUCUAUUCCUCCUUCUCAUUGUUUCAAGACAUUUCGGAUGUACCAUAAACACUUUUACCUGACACAGUGUGCAGCUGUCAGCACCCAGCAGCCACCGAUGUAAAUUCCCCCGCAGCUGAUUUUGCCCUCUUCUAUGAUUGCCACCUGCCACGGGAAGUCUCCCUGGGAAAAACAUUCGUGCGGUCACUGCCAAUCACAGAGGCAUCCACUGUGGCCCUCGGAGAGUCCCACUCACAUGGCCCCUCACCCCUGACGUUUUUCCAACUUGGACUUUCCCCUGGAAGAGAGCCUUGGGGCUCUGUACCCAAGCUUACCAUGUGUGCGGGCUUCCCCCCCACAAUCCGCUUCCUCCGAGAGUGCUCAGGUCUUCUGACGCCACAGAAUAGUUUAGGUAAUAAUGACUUUAUCCGUUUUCUUUCUUCAAGAAAAGAAGGGAUUCUAACAUUAUCAUCUGGAACUAUCACCUUGGGGACAGACAUAUCUUAAUUAUCUUUGCCACACAAGCAGCAGAGUCAUAGCUAAUACCAAACAGCACAGGAUCAUUAGUAAAUUUUUUUAGAUCCUAAACUCUACUAUUUACUUUGCUUAAAAAUUCGGGCCUAAUGUUAACACCGGCUUGAUUCUCUGAAGUUCUUCCUAAGUGCGGACUUGGGGCAGACUUAAGUUGGCCGAGGGGUUGAGCAUGGAGCCACCUUUUGGAAAUGAGUGAUGACAGUGUCACAGUCCAAGGACCUUUAAGGUGACAGCUCGGGCAGAGUCAUAUUAUGAAGUCCUCAGAGUAUGCUUCCUGAUGAGAGGAAGGACAGCAUCUUUCUCAUGCUCGUAGGUUUUACUGUCUGGCAGUUUAUGUGAAAUGCUUUUCAGUGAUGCCAAUGUGAACACUAAGGUGUUGGUAUUGAGUACUUCGUGUGUAUCAGCUUCCAUACCUACCUUCCAUCCUCCCAUCUCUGUUUAUCUCACUUAAUUAUCAUAUUAAACCCAGGGUGAUAUUCUAGAAAACCCUGGGCAGUCAGGUCAGCAGGACACAUCUGCUUUUCGGUAGCACCUGCCCCCUCCUGUCUGUGAGCAUGGGGACCGAGGGCAGACCAAGAAGUCGGGGACAGCAAGGCUCGCGACAGGGACUUGCGUGAGAAUUUGUGGCACAAGGAGAAAAUAAGAGCACGAGAUGCCCCUUUUAUUCUGCUUCCAAUGCUACAAUCAGGUCUGUAAGCCUGUGGCUUAGUCCCAAGUCACAGGAAACCUUACUACUCUCAGUCAUCUGGGGGAAAAACUGAUGACGUCUUAAGUCUUUGCCUGGAUCUUUGAAAGGAGGGAGGCCUCAUCCGCUGAGGGCUUCCAGGCCAGGCUGCACAGUAUCUAAAAAUCAAAGUGGCAUAAAAAAUACAAGGCUUUUGUUGAAAAUUCCUUUGGAUUGAUACCUACAGCUUUGAGAGCUAAAUCUUGCACUCACUGUUUGAUUAAAAAAAUUGUUAAUUAAUUUUGGGGCCUGGCAAUUACAAGGGAUUCUUUCCUGAAAUUCAUUUGAAGUACUUCCUAAAAUAGGGCUUUAUUUUAUUACUAAUUACUAAUUUAUUUUAUUACUAAUUUUAUUACUAAUUGUAUGAAGACAGCACAGUCUGUGUGGCCCAAACCCUCUGAUAAAUUACUGUCUUCCUACAAACUUAAUACUUUAUAUUUUCUUAUAGGGCACACCUGGCUAGGAUACAGAUCAUCAAACAGGAUGCCUGUUUGAAUAAGUGAAUUGCAUUACUAUCUAUUGUAUUUUUAAUUUAGAAAGUCUGCCAUAAGUCAUUUUUGAAACCUGGUUGUUUAUUGAUAAACCUGACCUGAUAAAGUUAAUAUUAAAUAGAAAAACUUUAUGUAGGACUAGAGAUUUUUUUUUCACUUCAAAAUUGGUCAUAUAAAUUUAACUCAGUUUUAAAAGUAGUUCUCAAGAAUCACUCAUGCUUGUUUUUCUUAAAAGUGAUAAGAAAAGCAGAACACUUACAUUUCUCAAUUUAAAUUUACAUCAAAAUUAUCCAUUGUUUGAAUAAAUUAGAUAUAUUUAUAUAUGACACUAAAAUGCCAACUUAAUGAAUCACCAGUAAAACUUUAUAAGAUAAACUUACCCGUAUCCAUAUCUUCAGUCAAAAUUUCUGUUUCUUCUGUGAUAAAAUAGAAAGUUCUGAUAUUUAAAGUUUUGUUUCUAAAGAUAAUUAAAUCAUUAAAAACAGAUUGAUAGUAAUUUUAUCUUCAAAUUGUGUCCUUUCUUUUCUUUUGAAGUGCUUGGAAUCGAACCCAAGGCGCUCACACUGUUAUAUCCUCACCAUUUCUUAUUUUUCACUUUAAACAUGGUCUCCUUAAAUUGCUAAUUUGUCUAAGCUGGGUUGGAAUGUGAGCGCUUCUGGCCUCAGCCUUCCAGAGUGCUGGGAUUACAGGCAUGCUCCAGGCACACCCAGGCUGUCCUUCCUUUUAAAAGGCCUGUAAAACUCUUGAAACACGUCAUUGAUUUCAUUUCCAUAACUGGGUAAUUGGAAAUGCUCAAGAUAGGUGUAUAGAUGUUCUUGCUGAUCCAAAGUGAGCGGCAAAAUUGCGGUGCAGUGGACCAGGUGCUCAGAGCCAUCUACACACGAGAGUCACAGGAGGGGAGCUUCUCUGUCAGCUGUGCUCCCCGGCUCCCUGACACUGACCCUGGCGCCUUGUACAGUGGGCGAGCUGCGGCCUCUCUGGGUCACAUGCACCGUGUCUCGCUGGCUCUGAUGUUAGGCAUCUGGGAUGAAGAAGCUGAGGCCAGAACAAAGUGUCCUUCCCUUCCUCGGAGCCCCUAAAACAUCACCUAGACAGGGUCAUGAUUCCUCAGACCUGGGGACCGGAAGGCCCAUUCCUGCCAUUCGUGCUGCCCAGCUGUGCCCAAGGACCUGGCUGGGGACCGCAGAACCCAGAAGGCAACAUCAUGGUGCGGCAAUCUCAGGUUGUGCUCCUGCAUUUCUGAGUUCUCCCUGGGACACACAGGUGUGUCCUUUCGCUCCCUUUGGCUGCUCUCUGGACAGGGGGACAGGAGGAGCCACAAGGCACGGCAGCUCUGUCCUGAGUGAGGAACUGAAAGGGAGGCUGGGGAGCCUCGUGCCGCUGGGAGGCGCUGGGCUGGAGCACGCAGGGAUUUUCAGGAGCACUGGCAUGGGGAACAUGGCUGCUGUCCUGAGUGUACAAAAAUUGAGGAGCUCUGUGCCAUCACGACCACCUCACUGCUGAUAAACAGGCAGACGGGGACAAAAUGAAAGGCAGUGCUUGGAAUGUCUAGAACUGAUCACACAUUCAUAUCCGCAAGACAAUAAGAAAGAAGCCUGCCCUGAAAGAAAUCUGAAGUAAAGAACAUGAACUGGUGGGAGAGAUCUGAACUAGUGAGUGGACAGACAAAGAGGAGGAGACAAGAAAAGCUAAUGAGGAUAUAAAGUCUGUAACUCAAAUCAUUGGUUAUUACGAAAAGCAAGUUAGUGAGCGAUAGCAUGGCCUGGAUGCUGGAGCUGAGCAAAAUUAGGAAGCCGUGGGUUGCUAGGCGCUGCGAGGUUGGGAGACACCCAGGCAUACUGGUGGGAAGGAAGCCUGGUACCUAACAGCACUGCCAAAGAACAUCCGAGUGCUAGUAACCGAUCAGGGGACAGACCCUGAAAGCUAGGUUGUCUGUUGCCCAGCCAGAUGUGUCAAAGAGGUCGCCUCACACAUCUGAGGGCGAGGGUAUUCAUCCCAGUGCCACGGUGGGCUGUGUUCAUUGCUGAGAAAGCCAGGAGGAUGAGUUAUAAAAGACAGACAUAGUGGAGUAUUUUAUACAGUGGUUAGGAGCCCCAGAGUGGGUGAACACACGACCACUUGGAAAGACAUUUUUUUCUUUUCUUCUUCUUUUUGUUUUUAUAUCAGGAAUUGAGCUCAAUGCUAUAUGAAUAAAAAAAUGUGUGCUCACCCAAUACCAGUACACCCUGGAGAAGGGGGCCUUUGGGUCAUGCGAAGGAGCCUGUGUGGGAGGCAGGAGGAAGCUGAUGGAGGAACAGGAGAGUGUCCUGCAGGUAAAUUUCUGGAGGAGACCAUAAUACUAUCUUCAAAUUUUUCACUGUUGAGAAGGAAAAGGUAAGAUGGGCAUCAGAACAACAGGAGUAGCUGAGCAGUGUGCAGGCACCACCACCUACCUGUUUCUAAGAGCCCAUCGUGGGAGGCCCUGGACAAGACAGUGACAGGCCUAGAUCCUUCCUGUGCCUCUGUGAGUGAGAAGAGCCAAGUUAGAAAGGAGACACUGCAAGGGGUGAGGGGAAAAUGUGGUGAAUGUGUAUUUUAAAAAUUUUUUGUUACAGUAAAAGACACAUUGCCAUGAAUCCCCCUCCAAAAGCUCUCUGUCUGGAACACUUCUCCCAUCACUCUUGGCAUUUUCUGAAACAGCUCUGCAAGUUCUCUUCUGUGUGAUUUUUAAAAAUAUGGUGAGAGGAGGAGGGUGCGUUGCAGCAUCACAGGCGCACCGGACCUGCUGGGAGCAUUGCCCGCUUCACCCUCACCUCUGAGUGGGGACCCGAGCCUGUAGCACCAGUGCUGAGUGGGUCCCCGUGGCUGGAGCACCCCUGAGGUCACCGGGUGGGCGAGUGUAUCUUUGCCGCCACUAGGCCCACGUGGCCGGAGCCCCACAGAGCCGCUGCCAUGAACAGAGCCCAGUAGAAUCUGCUUCUGAAAACACCUCGUUAGACAAUACUCAAAAAUAUAGAACCAGAACUUCCUGGUUUCCUGCCGUGCUCGACCAGCUUCGAGGAAUUGAGCCUGCCUGCCUACGCCCUGAACUGUGGACUGGACAGCCUGGGGUGAGUGUCCCCGCACCAUUCCGAGCCCCUGGGAGGGAGUUUAAGAUACUUCAGAUAACAGCAAAUUGGGUAGGGCAGCAAAACCCCAGUCAGCACGCUUCAGAAAGACCCUAAGCAAUAUGGAGAGGGCCAGGGACCACCCCACCACCUACCUGUCUGAAAGAAACCAGAAACAUGAUGAGAUAGAAAAAAAAAAAAAAAAAAAAAAAAAAGCUCCAGCCGCUAACCCUGGAAAAAUAAGCCCAGGACAAGUAAAUACAGAAGAGAACCAGUGCAGUAAUCACACAAUAUUAGACACAGCAUCAGCGGACAUAGAAAAAUACCUUUGUAACCUCAAAGAUGAAUUUAAAACUGUACUUCUGAUCCAAGUGAGGCAAGACUUAAAAAGAGUAAUUAAAAAAAAUGAUAAGCCCCUCCCAAGAGAAUACAGAAGAACAGAGGAACUCAGAAAAGGAAGUGAAACCUUUUGUGAAGAAUAUAAACAAAAUCUAAAAUACAUGAAACAGAUCCAAAGAGAUUACCAGGAAACUAAAAACUCCAUUGAAAGCUGGCAAAAUGCCUUGACAGAAACUAAAGUUAGACUUUUGAAACUUGAAGAGAGAUUUAUGGUGUGUGAUCAUGAAAGAAAAGAUCUCUCAAAAAUAACAAGAAGCCAGGAAGAAACAAUUCAAAGACUAAAAGAUGACAAGAGGAUUUAUAAUUUAAAAAUAAAAAACAUGAGCGAAGAAGCAGAAGUAACCACAAAUGAACUACAAAGACUAUUCACAGAUAUAAUUAAACUUCCCAAGCAUAGGAAAAAGAAAAGAUAUCCAGAUAAAUGAAGCAUACAGAACUCCAGCUACCUACAACCAAAACAGAUCUACACCCAGACAUAUAAUAAUCAAGAUUCCAGAAAUCCACCACAAGAAAAGAAUAUUAAAAGCAGCCAGAGAAAAGAAGCAGAUUACCUACAAUGGAAAAAUUAUCAAAAUAAUGACAGACUUAUCAACACAAACUCUCAAAUCCAGCAGAGCCUGGGGGGAAAUAGUCCACGCCCUGAAAGAAAAUAACUUCCAACCAAGACUGAUGUACCCGGAAAAAUUCUCUCUCAAAAUUAAUGGAGAAACAAGAUAUUUCCAAGACAAGGAGGAACUGUGAGAGUUCAUGGCCACCAACCCAACCUUACAAAAAAUACUGAAGAGUAUUCUAGAGAGAGAGAGAGGAACAAAUACCAGGAUUCCAGCAACAGUGAUAGAGAGGCCUCAAUGAAUGGGGUAGACAGUGGAAUGAAGGAGUAAAUUGGUAAAUAAUAGCAGAAGAAUAAAAUAGCAGAAAUGAGGCAGAGACGGUAAGCUAUAAUCUUUAAUAUAGAUAGCCCUGAUACAAACAAAAAAGAAACACAGGCAGAGUAGAUUAGGAGGCAGGAUCCAUCGAGAUGCUCUGAAUAGUAAAUAGACUCAAUCUGAAAGAGAGUUAAUAAACUGAGAGUUAAAGAUGAGAAAACAACGCUAUAUGUGACAGGAAACCAGAGAGAAAUAGGGACAACUCGUCCAGCAGCCACAGAUAGAUUGGAAAGCUAUGACACUUUUGGGCAGAACUAUACAGCUGGAAGGAAGGAAAACCUUGUGGCUUUAGUAAGUAAAGGAGUACAGCUCAAGAGCACGCUCAGGGGUAAAAAGGUUUAGCAACUCUCAGUAGAUAACAGGUUGGCCCCCUAAUUUAAAAACUAAAAGAGCUAGAGGGACCCAAAACAUACAAAGCACCCUGAUAAAGGGCAAAGGGAGGAACUGUCUAAAAAAGGAAGGCAGAGGACAUUGUUAAUAGUGUACAAGAUUUAAAAGUCACAGUAGUCUUUCGCUCUGUUUAGUUUGAUUAUAUUUUGUUCUGAUCUGUCUACUCAUAUUAGAUUUGAGGGCACAGACUGCUAACCCAAAAAUAGCAGUUUAUACCACAGUAACUAUCUUUAAUUUCCUAUUAACUUACAUUGAAACCCUGUAUUACUUACAUUGUCUUAAUAUGACUGAUCUUAUUUGAAGCUGGUUUGUUAGAUCACAGUUUUGCCUUGGCUGAUUUUAUUUGAAUUUGGUAAGCUUGAUAGUAUCAAGUCUAAGAGUAGAGGCAACUACUCUGAAGAUGACAAGAUGUAAAAGAUAUCCAUUCCGGUUUUGAUUAUUGACUGCUUUCAAGUCCUACAAUGUCUUCAAAGUUGUGUUUUUAUUAAAAUAGCUAUGUAAUGUUAUGUUCAAUUAUAUUAUGCCUGAUGAUGUGGACAAUUCUAUUGAAAAUAACAAGAGAAAAAAUAGUAACUACAGUAGGUCAUGUAAUAUUGUGGUCCUAUAUGUCUUUUUCAUUUCAUGUUUUUCUAGGAAUUUUAUUUUGUUGUCUUGUUUUGAUCUGUUUUCCCUGUAAUACAGAAAAGAUAGAUAUACAUGUAGAGAUUCACACAUGGGAAGAAUUUCUAAACUAUUUACGGAACAGAUUAUAUAAUACACAAUGUAAUGAACAGAUACUCUGAAGAAGAAGAGACACUAAGAAACCCAAUGCUAAUUCUGUAACAUUAUGAUAUAAAAUCUAGCAAUACUAUCAUCUACUGUUCAGAGUGAUAUUAGUCUAGUUUCUUAUGUUCAAUUUCAGCAUACAUAAAGAUAAAGACAGCUACUACGAAGAGACUGAGAAACAUUGUAGUAGUCAUUAUUGAGUUCCCCAAAAUCAGGUCUUGAAGACCUAAAAAGGCUUCAUCAUCCUGUAAGAAUUUGAUUAGUUCUAUAAUGUUCAGUAUAUAUUCAAUAUGUGCGAAGAUGGGGACAACUAUUUGGAAGAAAACUAGAGAAAAUAAGAUAGACAGUGAAGAUCUCCAGUGGACUUGCUUUGAAAUCUGUGUUUCUUUAAAUUGUUUCCUUAUGAACUGUUUUGUUAUAUUUAAUCUUACCCUCUUUAAGAUAAAAAACAAGUGUGUAGGACUGAUAACCAUAUUACUAAGUUCUUGCUGGAUCGUUGAGCAGAACUGUUUGCAGUGUCAUUAUUUGAAUAUCACUUUGUAUGCUUUAAUUUUGUAAAUCUAGCAACUAUUUCUAAGAUGACGGUAUGUAACUUACUGACUGGUGAUUUCUGACUGUUUAUUUUUCUGAAAUUCUGUAUUGUUUCUACCCUUUUUUUUCCUGGGGUUUUCUUUUCUCUUUAAAUACAAAAUUUUUUAAAAAAAUAUGGUGAAUGCUGCUGCCAGUGCCAUCCAACAGCAAAGCAGCUUGUCCUCACCCAUGUUGGUCACCAGAUCUGGUAACCUGUGAUUUGCAGCUCUGCCCCCAAGUCAAAAUGACCAUGGAAGGUCAAUGCUUUGAAUCAAUUCAGGGCACGGAGGCAACUAGGACAGUGCAACUAAAGACACAGAAAGAGCACUCCAGAGCUGCUGCAAAAAGUGGCGAGAAGGACAGGAAGGUGUGUUAGAAGGGAGCAUUGGCUGUGGUAGUGGUGAUGGUGGUGGUUCACGACAGUACACCUCUUACUGUUGUAAGGGUCCAAUUGUACAAUAACAAACUUAUUUUAAAGCUAAGUGAAAAAUCAAUCAGUGGCUUAUGACUAUGCUUCUGCUUCGUGUCAUGCAGUUAGCGUACUAAACUCAGUCAGCCUUGAUUGUCUGCAUUCAGCUACUUCUUCUGAUAAUGCACUGGGCCAACCUGAGCACAUCCAGCUUGUGUUUUUCCUUAGUUAGAAGAAUAUAUACUGUUUCCAGCAUGCCUCAAGGACUUCAUGUUUGGGACAAACUGCCCAGUCAAUGACACAUUUAACUUUACUUGCUUUGCUCAAGCCCUCCCCUCAUCCCCAGGAUGUUCCUACAUCAUGGUAAACAAUUCCUUUUAAGUAACUCUGUUAGAACUAGCUUGCCUGACAAUAUAUGACUUAAUUCAUGUAACCUAUCACGUAAUAACCUGCCAUCGGCCUUGUACUUCCUGCUUGCAAACUGUAUUUAAGUUGUACUGUAAACUGACUCAUGGCUGAUGGUUUGAAACUGAUUCUCAUCAGAUCAAUAAACAUUGCCGUCUAGA